rnacentral:rRNA from 1 species
UGGGGAAUUUUCCGCAAUGGGCGAAAGCCUGACGGAGCAAUACCGCGUGAGGGAGGAAGGCUUUUGGGUUGUAAACCUCUUUUCUUAAGGAAGAAGAACUGACGGUACUUAAGGAAUCAGCAUCGGCUAACUCCGUGCCAGCAGCCGCGGUAAUACGGAGGGGGCAAGCGUUGUUCGGAAUUACUGGGCGUAAAGGGCGCGUAGGCGGUCUGUCGCGUCAGGUGUGAAAGCCCCGGGCUCAACCUGGGAGGUGCACUUGAUACGGGCGGACUGGAAUCCGGGAGAGGAUGGUGGAAUUCCCAGUGUAGAGGUGAAAUUCGUAGAUAUUGGGAAGAACACCGAUGGCGAAGGCAGCCAUCUGGCCCGGGAUUGACGCUGAGGCGCGAAAGCGUGGGGAGCAAACAGGAUUAGAUACCCGUGUAGUCC